rnacentral:tRNA from 1 species
ACCAGGCUGGCUCAGUCAGUAGAGCAUGAGACUUUUGAUCUCAGAGUCAUAAGUUCAAGCCCCAUGUUGGACA